CCGGUCAUAAACCGGAGGAAGGUGGGGAUGACGUCAAGUCAGCAUGGCCUUUAUAUCCUGGGCUACACACACGCUACAAUGGGAAGGGACAAUAGGUUGCGAAGCCGCGAGGCGGAGCCAAUCCAGCAAAACUUCCCUCAGUUCAGAUUGCAGGCUGCAACUCGCCUGCAUGAAGUUGGAGUUGCUAGUAAACGCAGGUCAGCCAUACUGCGUUGAAUACGUUCCCGGGGCUU
rnacentral:rRNA from 1 species